rnacentral:rRNA from 1 species
GCGUUAAAUCGACCGCCUGGGGAGUACGGCCGCAAGGUUAAAACUCAAAUGAAUUGACGGGGGCCCGCACAAGCGGUGGAGCAUGUGGUUUAAUUCGAUGCAACGCGAAGAACCUUACCUGGUCUUGACAUCCACAGAACUUUCCAGAGAUGGAUUGGUGCCUUCGGGAACUGUGAGACAGGUGCUGCAUGGCUGUCGUCAGCUCGUGUUGUGAAAUGUUGGGUUAAGUCCCGCAACGAGCGCAACCCUUAUCCUUUGUUGCCAGCGGUCCGGCCGGGAACUCAAAGGAGACUGCCAGUGAUAAACUGGAGGAAGGUGGGGAUGACGUCAAGUCAUCAUGGCCCUUACGACCAGGGCUACACACGUGCUACAAUGGCACAUACAAAGAGAAGCGACCUCGCGAGAGCAAGCGGACCUCAUAAAGUAUGUCGUAGUCCGGAUUGGAGUCUGCAACUCGACUCCAUGAAGUCGGAAUCGCUAGUAAUCGUAGAUCAGAAUGCUACGGUGAAUACGUUCCCGGGCCUUGUACACACCGCCCGUCACACCAUGGGAGUGGGUUGCAAAAGAAGUAGGUAGCUUAACCUUCGGGAGGGCGCUACC